UACAGAGGGUGCGAGCGUUAAUCGGAAUUACUGGGCGUAAAGGGCGCGUAGGCUGUGCUGUAAGUCAGGCGUGAAAGCCCCGGGCUCAACCUGGGAAUUGCGCUUGAUACUGCGGCGCUGGAAGGUGGGAGAGGAUGGCGGAAUUCCCAGUGUAGAGGUGAAAUUCGUAGAUAUUGGGAAGAACACCGGUGGCGAAGGCGGCAUCUGGC
rnacentral:rRNA from 1 species